rnacentral:piRNA from 1 species
ACCUGUGUGUGGAGAAGCUGAAGAAUG